rnacentral:rRNA from 1 species
GCAAGUCGAGCGGCAGCGACAACAUUGAACCUUCGGGGGAUUUGUUGGGCGGCGAGCGGCGGACGGGUGAGUAAUGCCUAGGAAAUUGCCCUGAUGUGGGGGAUAACCAUUGGAAACGAUGGCUAAUACCGCAUGAUGCCUACGGGCCAAAGAGGGGGACCUUCGGGCCUCUCGCGUCAGGAUAUGCCUAGGUGGGAUUAGCUAGUUGGUGAGGUAAGGGCUCACCAAGGCGACGAUCCCUAGCUGGUCUGAGAGGAUGAUCAGCCACACUGGAACUGAGACACGGUCCAGACUCCUACGGGAGGCAGCAGUGGGGAAUAUUGCACAAUGGGCGCAAGCCUGAUGCAGCCAUGCCGCGUGUAUGAAGAAGGCCUUCGGGUUGUAAAGUACUUUCAGUCGUGAGGAAGGUUCAUGCGUUAAUAGCGUAUGGAUUUGACGUUAGCGACAGAAGAAGCACCGGCUAACUCCGUGCCAGCAGCCGCGGUAAUACGGAGGGUGCGAGCGUUAAUCGGAAUUACUGGGCGUAAAGCGCAUGCAGGUGGUUAGUUAAGUCAGAUGUGAAAGCCCGGGGCUCAACCUCGGAAUUGCAUUUGAAACUGGCUGACUAGAGUACUGUAGAGGGGGGUAGAAUUUCAGGUGUAGCGGUGAAAUGCGUAGAGAUCUGAAGGAAUACGGGUGGCGAAGGCGGCCCCCUGGACAGAUACUGACACUCAGAUGCGAAAGCGUGGGGAGCAACAGGAUU